rnacentral:lncRNA from 12 species
AGUUCAUGUUUUAAGAUGUGUUUCCUAGAACACCUUCCUUAAUGGUGUGUGAAUGUAUCAUUUAUAUAGAGUACAUUUGAAAUGAGUAUGGUUUUUAUUUCCUUAGGAAUUGUUGAAUUCUAUCAUGAAUCCAAUUGGAGGGCCGGUGUCCUGCAGAGUUCAGCUCCAACACUAAUCAAGCACACCUGAACCAGCUAAUUAAGGUCUUACUAGGUAUACAUGAAAUUCCAGGCAGGUGUGUUGAGGCAAGCUGGAGCUAAACUCUGCAGGCCCUCCAGGACCGAAUUUGGAGACCCCUGAUUUAGGUGAAGAAAAAGAAGAAAAAAAAACACUCCUCAGAGUUCACACACUUCCUUUUGACUACAGGUUUAUUCUCUUCGUUUAUUUCUGUGGAUUGUCACAUUCCAUUCAGCAGAGGUCAUUGGGAAACAACAUGUCAUUUUUCAAUCCAAAAUUAAAAUUGUGCAGAAAAAGUCAGAGUAUACAGUACAUUAUAGGGCUGGGCGAUAUAUCUAACGAUAUGAUCAUGCGCAUUUAGUCACUAAAUCUGGCUCCGUGAUUAGCGCUAAAUCGCCAUCACCUGCUUUCAAAUGGAGCGGCACUUUAGACAGAGCCGUAGAUCACUGACAAGCUACGCAAUAUCGCGUUCAUCAUCUGCGAUAAUGAAUGCGAUAUUGCGCAGCUUGUCAGUAAUCUACGGCUCUGUCUAUUAAGUGCCGCUCCAUUNUUCGUGUUCAUUUCACGCAUUUCUUUGAGAUCAGGUUGAUUUGAAAGCAGGUGAUGGCGAUUUAGCGCUAAUCACGGAGCCAGAUUUACUGACUAAAUGCGCAUGAUCAUAUCGUUAGAUAUCUCGCCCAGCCCUAAUUAUCAUCAAAAGAAUAAAGAAAAAAAAAAACACUAUGAACCCCUUAAAAUCCAGAGGAUGCAAAAAUAUCAUCAAUAUCAUCAUUUAGCACAUUUGGUUUCUGCAUCGCAGUCUGAGAGUCCUUUUUUUCCCCCAGCUCCAGCUUCCAGACACUCCAUUCUCAGACACUUCAGGUGUAAGAAGGCCAGAUGCUUACGCUCUUGAUGAAACUUACAGCUUCGACACCAGUAAAUCAUUUCCAUUAGAUGGGCAGCCAUAUUUCUGAAAGACGACACCUUCUUCAGUGACUUCAAGAACAUCAUCUUUUGAAAGACUGCAGCUUGGCUUGAAAUGUCUGAUUUCACCUGUGGCUCCAGAGACAUCUUUAGGAAGAAUGUUUCAAAAUUAACCAGUGACUGCAUUUCUAUGAAAAUGUCAGCAUAUUAUUUUUAAUAUUAUAAAAGACAUUAGUAGUGAAUAUUUUUUUUAUAAUAUUUACCUAUUUUUGUUAACAUAUUUUAAAUAAUUGCUUUUGCAAAAAAAAAAAAAAAACUGCACAUUUUUCAGUUCCUCCUACAAAAAUAGACUUCUUUUGCACAUUCAGAUAAAACAGUGUGUGUGUGUGUGUGUGUAAGAGAGAGAGAGAAAGAGAGAGACCUACCCUCAAGAAAAGGCUGCUUGGUGUGUAAUCUUGUGGAUAGAAAAUUGCAAGGAUUAUGUAUUUAUUAUUGGAAAUACUAUUAUUAUUAAUUUAUUAUAGUAAUAAUACGUUAUAUUUUAUACUUUGUUUUAUUGCAAGGAACAUGUAUUUAAUAUUAAAAUAUUAUUAAUUUCGACUAAUACUAAUACAUUUUGAUAUAUUUUUUCUAGUUUUGUUUUAUUAUUAAAAAAAAACGAAUACAUUAAUAAAAUGCAGUUACAAUAUAAACAUUUUAUGUGUAUGGUGGUGCUUAUAAUAAUGAAAAGCGCUUACUACAACGGCGCUAUAAGCUCUGACUCUGUACAGAAAGUUCACCGCCCUGCAGGUGAAUCGCAGGCACGGGCGAGAGCGCGCGCGAGGCUCUUGGUUUGAUCAUGUGCAGGUCUCCCCCCGCGCCGUGCAUCCCGCUGAACACACUGUCCAGCUCUUUCUGCUCAAACGGGAUUCUCACAUUCUCCUGCGAUAUUCAUAUAAAUAAUAAGCUCUCAAACCGUGUUAAAAACGAAGCUCAUUAAACACUGCAACAAAAUCGUUUUGUAAACACUCAUUAUUUUCCACUCCAUUUACAAAAAGUGUUAAUAAGUUGGACAUAAUGUUUCUAUUAGAGACAAUACCUCUGAAAAUCCCAUUAACCAUUAAUGGUUG